GGAGCUUGAUCAGUAUCUGGAGGAGACGCUUGUACCGAGGAUUCCGGAGUUUGACCUACUGAACUGGUGGAAGUUGAACACUCUGAAGUAUCCGACACUCUCGAUGAUGGCACGGGAUGUCUUGUCUAUUCCGAUGUCGAUGGUGAGCACAGGAUCGGUGUUUGGGCCUGGAAGUGUGAGUAGGGUUUUGGAUGAUUAUCGGAGUUCGUUGCAGCCUGAGA
rnacentral:misc_RNA from 1 species